CCUACGGGUGGCAGCAGUGAGGAAUAUUGGUCAAUGGACGAGAGUCUGAACCAGCCAAGUAGCGUGAAGGAUGACUGCCCUCUGGGUUGUAAACUUCUUUUAUAAAGGAAUAAAACGAGGCACGUGUGCCUUUUUGCAUGUACUUUAUGAAUAAGGCACGGCUAACUCCGUGCCAGCAGCCGCGGUAAUACGGAGGAUCCGAGCGUUAUCCGGAUUUAUUGGGUUUAAAGGGAGCGUAGAUGGGUUGUUAAGUCAGUUGUGAAAGUUUGCGGCUCAACCGUAAAAUUGCAAUUGAUACUGGCAGUCUUGAGUGCAGUUGAGGUAGGCGGAAUUCGUGGUGUAGCGGUGAAAUGCGUAGAUAUCACGAAGAACCCCAAUUGCGAAGGCAGCUUACUAGACUGUGACUGACAUUGAUGCUCGAAAGUGUGGGUAGCAAACAGGAUUAGAUACCCGUGUAGUC
rnacentral:rRNA from 1 species